UACGUAGGGCGCAAGCGUUGUCCGGAAUUAUUGGGCGUAAAGAGCUCGUAGGCGGUUUGGCAAGUCGGGUGUGAAAACUCCCGGGCUCAACCCGGAGACGCCACUCGAUACUGCUAUGACUUGAGUCCGGUAGGGGAGUGCGGAAUUCCUGGUGUAGCGGUGAAAUUCGUAGAUAUUGGGGAAUAACACCGGUGGCGAAGGCGGCUCUCUGGACCGAGACUGACGCUGAGGCGCGAAAGCGUGGGGAGCAACAGG
rnacentral:rRNA from 1 species